GAGGAAAGAGGGAGGCGUGCCUAAUACAUGCAAGUCGAACGAAACUUCUUUAUCACCGAGUGCUUGCACUCACCGAUAAAGAGUUGAGUGGCGAACGGGUGAGUAACACGUGGGCAACCUGCCCAAAAGAGGGGGAUAACACUUGGAAACAGGUGCUAAUACCGCAUAACCAUAGUUACCGCAUGGUAACUAUGUAAAAGGUGGCUAUACUACCGCUUUUGGAUGGGCCCGCGGCGCAUUAGCUAGUUGGUAGGGUAAAGGCUUACCAAGGCAAUGAUGCGUAGCCGAAUUGAGAGGUUGAUCGGCCACAUUGGAACUGAGACACGGCCCAAACUCCUACGGGAGGCAGCAGUAGGGAAUCUUCCACAAUGGGCGAAAGCCUGAUGGAGCAACGCCGCGUGGGUGAAGAAGGUCUUCGGAUCGUAAAACCCUGUUGUUAGAGAAGAAAGUGCGUGAGAGUAACUGUUCACGUUUCGACGGUAUCUAACCAGAAAGCCACGGCUAACUACGUG
rnacentral:rRNA from 1 species